rnacentral:rRNA from 1 species
UGCCAGCAGCCGCGGUAAUACGAAGGGGGCGAGUGUUGUUCGGAAUUACUGGGCGUAAAGGGCGCGUAGGCGGUCUUUUAAGUUAGGCGUGAAAUCCCCGGGCUCAACCCGGGAACUGCGUUUAAAACUGAGAGACUAGAAAACGGAAGAGGGUAGUGGAAUUCCCAGUGUAGAGGUGAAAUUCGUAGAUAUUGGGAAGAACACCAGUGGCGAAAGCGCUCUACUGGACCAUUACUGACACUCAGAGGCGAAAGCUAGGGUAGCAAAAGGGAUUAGAUA